CCCUUAGAUGUUCUGGGCCGCACGCGCGCUACACUGAUGCAUUCAACGAGUCUAAAACCUGCUCUGAUAGGGGUGGGUAAUCUUUUGAAUGUGCAUCGUGAUUGGGAUAGAUGAUUGAAAUUUUUCAUCUUCAACGAGGAAUGCCUAGUAAACGCAAGUCAUCAGCUUGCAUUGAUUACGUCCCUGCCCUUUGUACACACCGCCCGUCGCUCCUACCGAUUGAAUGAUCCGAUGAAUAUCAUGGAUUGAGGAUGCAAGUAGGUUCACCUAUCUUCAUCUUCGAGAAGUGAAGUAAAUCUGAUCAUUUAGAGGAAGGAGAAGUCGUAACA
rnacentral:rRNA from 1 species